CACAUGCAAGUCGAGGGGUAUAGGGAGCUUGCUUCCUAGAGACCGGCGCACGGGUGCGUAACGCGUAUGCAAUCUACCUUUGCAGAGGGAUAGCCCAGAGAAAUUUGGAUUAAUACCUCAUAGUAUGUGAGAAUGGCAUCAUUUUCACAUUAAAGUCACAACGGCAAAAGAUGAGCAUGCGUCCCAUUAGCUUGUUGGUAAGGUAACGGCUUACCAAGGCAACGAUGGGUAGGGGUCCUGAGAGGGAGAUCCCCCACACUGGUACUGAGACACGGACCAGACUCCUACGGGAGGCAGCAGUGAGGAAUAUUGGACAAUGGGCGCAAGCCUGAUCCAGCCAUGCCGCGUGCAGGAUGACGGUCCUAUGGAUUGUAAACUGCUUUUGUACAGGAAGAAACACUGGUUCGUGAACCAGCUUGACGGUACCGAGAGAAUAAGCCCCGGCUAACUCCGUG
rnacentral:rRNA from 1 species